AGUGAACGCUGGCGGCGUGCCUAACACAUGCAAGUCGAACGAUGAUGGAGGAGCUUGCUCUUCCUGAUUAGUGGCGCACGGGUGAGUAUACCAUAGAUAAUGUACCCCUUAGUUCGGGAUAGCCACUGGAAACGGUGAUUAAUACCGGAUACUCCUUCUCGUUAUAAGACGAGUCGGGAAAGUUUUUUCGCUAAGGGAUCAGUCUAUGUCCUAUCAGCUAGUUGGUGAGGUAAUGGCUCACCAAGGCUAUGACGGGUAUCUGGUUUGAGAGGAUGAUCAGACACACUGGAACUGAGACACGGUCCAGACUCCUACGGGAGGCAGCAGUGAGGAAUAUUGCACAAUGGAGGAAACUCUGAUGCAGCAACGCCGCGUGGAGGAUGACGCAUUUCGGUGUGUAAACUCCUUUUAAGAGGGAAGAUUAUGACGGUACCUCUUGAAUAAGCACCGGCUAACUCCGUGCCAGCCGCCGCGGUAACAC
rnacentral:rRNA from 1 species